rnacentral:rRNA from 1 species
GAGUUUGAUCCUGGCUCAGACUGAACGCUGGCGGCAUGCUUUACACAUGCAAGUCGAACGGCAGCGCGGGGCAACCUGGCGGCGAGUGGCGAACGGGUGAGUAAUAUAUCGGAACGUACCCAGAAGUGGGGGAUAACGUAGCGAAAGUUACGCUAAUACCGCAUACGAUCUACGGAUGAAAGUGGGGGACCUUCGGGCCUCAUGCUUGUGGAGCGGCCGAUAUCUGAUUAGCUAGUUGGUAGGGUAAAGGCCUACCAAGGCGACGAUCAGUAGCUGGUCUGAGAGGACGACCAGCCACACUGGGACUGAGACACGGCCCAGACUCCUACGGGAGGCAGCAGUGGGGAAUUUUGGACAAUGGGCGCAAGCCUGAUCCAGCAAUGCCGCGUGAGUAAAGAAGGCCUUCGGGUUGUAAAGCUCUUUCGUCAGGGAAGAAACGGGAUUGGCUAAUAUCCAGUCCUAAUGACAGUACCUGAAGAAUAAGCACCGGCUAACUACGUGCCAGCAGCCGCGGUAAUACGUAGGGUGCAAGCGUUAAUCGGAAUUACUGGGCGUAAAGCGUGCGCAGGCGGUUUUGUAGGUCUGACGUGAAAUCCCCGGGCUCAACCUGGGAAUUGCGUUGGAGACUGCAAGGCUGGAGUCUGGCAGAGGGGGGGUAGAAUUCCACGUGUAGCAGUGAAAUGCGUAGAGAUGUGGAGGAACACCGAUGGCGAAAGGCAGCCCCCUGGGGUCAAGACUGACGCUCAUGCACGAAAGCGUGGGGAGCAAACAGGAUUAGAUACCCUGGUAGUCCACGCCCUAAACGAUGUCUACUAGUUGUCGGGUCUUAACGGGCUUGGUGACGCAGCUACGCGUGAAGUGACCGCCUGGGAGUACGUGCAGAUAAACUCAAAGAUGACGGGACCCGCACCAAGCGGGUGGAUUAUUGUGAUAUCGAUGCACGCCGAAAAGCUACUACCCUGACAUGUGCGGAAGCCCGCUGAGAGUGGGUGUGCCCGAAGGGAACGCAACACAGUGCUGCAUGCUGUCGUCAGCUCGUGUCGUGAGAUGUGGGUUAAGUCCGCAACGAGCGCAACCCUUGUCAUUAAUUGCCAUCAUUCAGUUGGGCACUUUAAUGAAACUGCCGGUGACAAACCGGAGGAAGGUGGGGAUGACGUCAAGUCCUCAUGGCCUUUAUGGGUAGGGCUUCACACGUAAUACAAUGGCGCGUACAGAGGGUUGCCAACCCGCGAGGGGGAGCUAAUCUCAGAAAGCGCGUCGUAGUCCGGAUCGGAGUCUGCAACUCGACUCCGUGAAGUCGGAAUCGCUAGUAAUCGCGGAUCAGCAUGUCGCGGUGAAUACGUUCCCGGGUCUUGUACACACCGCCCGUCACACCAUGGGAGUUGGAUUGACCCGAAGGUGGUGAGCUAACCCGCAAGGGAGGCAGCCAACCACGGUCGGUUCAGCGACUGGGGUGAAGUCGUAACAAGGUAGCCGUAGGGGAACCUGCGGCUGGAUCACCUCCUU